rnacentral:rRNA from 1 species
GUGGGUGCGUGCAGCGUUUUGGAAGUAGUUUUCUGCUCCUGUCGUUGUUUUGCGCUCGCCUGCUGGUGCCCUGUGCUGUAGUGGGACGUCAGAGUCAAUUCGUAUGCUGCGGGAAAUGGUUACUGGGGAGGUAGGUCACUUCGGUGGCUGUUAUAUCCUGGUGACUAGUCGUCGUGGUUGGGAUUGAGGUGCCUACAAUGUGCUUUCGAGUCUGUGGGUCUCUCGUUUGGCCGUUUGCCUUGAUAGCUUGCUAUGUUGGUGAAUGUGUCGGGCGAUUGGGAUCUGUAGUAACUUGUUGCCGUUCGGGACUUUGACGAAAUGGAGCGAUCCGACCCGUCUUGAAACACGGACCAAGGAGUCUAACAUGUGUGCAAGUGUUAGGGUGUGGAAACCCCAGCGCGAAAUGAAAGUAAAGGGCAGCCUAGCUGCCUGAGGUAGGAAACCUUUGUUUACAGGGGUGGCACUAUCGACCGAUCAUGAACCUUCGUGGUGAAAGAUUUGAGUUUGAGCACAUAUGUUGGUACCCGAAAGAUGGUGAACUAUGCCUGAGUAGGGUGAAGCCAGGGGAAACUCUGGUGGAGGCUCGUAGCGAUUCUGACGUGCAAAUCGAUCGUCGAACUUGGGUAUAGGGGCGAAAGACUAAUCGAACCAUCUAGUAGCUGGUUCCCUCCGAAAUUUCCCUCAGGAUAGCAGCAACUUAUUUACGAUAGUUUUAUGAGGUAAAGCGAAUGAUUAGAGGAUUUGGGGAAGAAACUUCCUUGACCUAUUCUCAAACUUUAAAUCUGUAAGACCUGCAGGUUUCUUAAUUGAACUUGUGGAUGUGAAUAUCAAGUUGCUAGUGGGCCAUUCGGGGUAA